rnacentral:misc_RNA from 1 species
GAUGAAGAACGUAGCGAAAUGCGAUAAGUAAUGCGAAUUGCAGAAUUCAGUGAAUCAUCGAAUCUUUGAACGCACAUUGCGCCCGCCAGUAUUCUGGCGGGCAUGCCUGUUCGAGCGUCAUUUCAACCAUCAAGCCCCCGGCUUGUGUUGGGGACCUGCGGCUGCCGCAGGCCCUGAAAUGCAGUGGCGGGCUCGCUGUCACUCCGAGCGUAGUAGUUACAUCUCGCUCUGGGCGUGCUGCGGGUUCCGGCCGUUAAAAGCCUUAUUUACCCAAGGUUGACCUCGGAUCAGGUAGGAAGACCCGCUGAACUUAAGCAUAUCAAUAAGCGGAGGA